GGGGGUAUCGUCUAAUGGCAGGGUGCGCGGCUCCAGCCCGCGAGAUGGGGGUUCAAUUCCUCCUAUCCCCA
rnacentral:tRNA from 1 species